CGAUGCCGCGUGAGUGAAGAAGGCCUUUGGGUUGUAAAGCUCUUUCGUCGGGGAAGAAAAUGACUGUACCCGAAUAAGAAGGUCCGGCUAACUUCGUGCCAGCAGCCGCGGUAAUACGAAGGGACCUAGCGUAGUUCGGAAUUACUGGGCUUAAAGAGUUCGUAGGUGGUUAAAAAAGUUGGUGGUGAAAUCCCAGAGCUUAACUCUGGAACUGCCAUCAAAACUUUUUAGCUAGAGUAUGAUAGAGGAAAGCAGAAUUUCUAGUGUAGAGGUGAAAUUCGUAGAUAUUAGAAAGAAUACCAAUUGCGAAGGCAGCUUUCUGGAUCAUUACUGACACUGAGGAACGAAAGCAUGGGUAGCGAAGAGGAUUAGAUACCCUCGUAGUCCAUGCCGUAAACGAUGUGUGUUAGACGUUGGAAAUUUAUUUUCAGUGUCGCAGCGAAAGCAAUAAACACACCGCCUGGGGAGUACGACCGCAAGGUUAAAACUCAAAUGAAUUGACGGGGACCCGCACAAGUAGUGGAGCAUGUGGUUUAAUUCGAAGAUACGCGCAGAACCUUACCAACACUUGACAUGUUCGUCGCGACUUUAAGAGAUUAAAGUUUUCGGUUCGGCCGGACGAAACACAGGUGCUGCAUGGCUGUCGUCAGCUCGUGUCGUGAGAUGUUGGGUUAAGUCCCGCAACGAGCGCAACCCUCACUUUUAGUUGCCAUCAUUUAGUUGGGCACUCUGAAAGAACUGCCAGUGAUAAGCUGGAGGAAGGUGGGGAUGACGUCAAGUCCUCAUGGCCCUUACGUGUUGGGCUACACACGUGCUACAAUGGCAUUUACAAUAGGAAGCAAGACGGCGACGUUUAGCAAAUCCUAA
rnacentral:rRNA from 1 species